UACGUAGAAGACUAGUGUUAUUCAUCUUUAAUAGGUUUAAAAGGGUACCUAGACGGUAUAAUUAGUCUUUAACAGGAAACGGUUAUACUAGAGUUAUAUAUGAGGAGGUGAGUAUUGUGGAGUAGAGUUGAAAUUCUUUGAUACCAUGAAGACUGGUAAAGGCGAAAGCAACCUUUAUCUAAUAACUGACGUUGAGGGACGAAGCUCGGGUCGCGAACAGGAUUAG
rnacentral:rRNA from 1 species